rnacentral:rRNA from 1 species
AUUGAACGCUGGCGGAAUGCUUUACACAUGCAAGUCGAACGGCAGCACGGGUGCUUGCACCUGGUGGCGAGUGGCGAACGGGUGAGUAAUACAUCGGAACGUACCCAGUUAUGGGGGAUAACUAACCGAAAGGUUAGCUAAUACCGCAUACGCCCUGAGGGGGAAAGCGGGGGACCGUAAGGCCUCGCGUAAUUGGAGCGGCCGAUGUCUGAUUAGCUAGUUGGUGGGGUAAAGGCCUACCAAGGCGACGAUCAGUAGCAGGUCUGAGAGGAUGAUCUGCCACACUGGAACUGAGACACGGUCCAGACUCCUACGGGAGGCAGCAGUGGGGAAUUUUGGACAAUGGGCGGAAGCCUGAUCCAGCCAUUCCGCGUGAGUGAAGAAGGCCUUCGGGUUGUAAAGCUCUUUCGGCAGGGAAGAAACGGUCUAGGUUAAUACCUUGGGCUGAUGACGGUACCUGAAGAAGAAGCACCGGCUAACUACGUGCCAGCAGCCGCAGUAA